GAUGAACGCUAGCGGCAGGCUUAACACAUGCCAGUCGAGGGGCAGCGCGGGAUAGCAAUAUCCUGGCGGCGACCGGCGGAAGGGUGCGUAACGCGUGAGCGACAUGCCCGUUGCCCGGGGACAACCGGUGGAAACGCCGACUAAUCCCCGAUGGGAUACGAUGCUUCAUGGCAUUGUAUUGAAAGUUACGGCGGCGACGGAUUGGCUCGCGUCCGAUUAGCUGGUUGGCGGGGUAACGGCCCACCAAGGCUGCGAUCGGUAGGGGUUCUGAGAGGAAGGCCCCCCACAAUGGGACUGAGACACGGCCCACACUCCUACGGGAGGCAGCAGUGAGGAAUAUUGGUCAAUGGGCGGAAGCCUGAACCAGCCAUGCCGCGUGCGGGAAGGAGGCCCUAUGGGCUGUGAACCGCUUUUGCCUGGGGGCAAUAAGGGCGUCGCGCACGUCCGAUGAGAGUACCAGGCGAAUAAGCAUCGGCUAACUCCGUG
rnacentral:rRNA from 1 species